UGAAUAGGUGGCUGAAGAAGUGUUAAGUUGUAACCUUAAUUAUAGGUGUUUACCUCCUUUUCAUC
rnacentral:tRNA from 1 species